rnacentral:lncRNA from 1 species
GGGUGUUCUUAGUACAGGUUGCCAUUAGGAUUAAAAAAAUGACAACUAGAGACUGACCUUGAUUGGAUGGUGUUUAUCGCAUCCAAUUGACGUGCUAGCCCAAGAUUUGUUUACAUGUUUUACCAUUUUGAUAUGGCUUACUCCCUCUCCUGUCUGUAAAUACUCUGUUUUGGAUAAAUGGCAGCGUCUCUCAAAAAUAUGAUUUUAACCACUAUUUUUAUUAGUUUAUAAAAUGAAACACAUAUAUAUGACAUAAUGAAAGUUCCCUUCAAGGCAACUCUGGCAUAUGGCUUGUAUUUUUUUACAAGUAAAUAUUAUAAAAUUUAUAUACAGUGAAAGCUAUAAUAUUGAAAAUUGGAGGGAGUACAUAAUAUUGAAAGCAGAAAUCAAAUGAAUUACCAUGAGAAACACUUGGUGUACACAAAGUCUAUUUUUUAAAGUGGAAUUUAACAAGUGACAGGGGAAUGUAAGGUAGUAGAGAACAAAAAACAACAAAGACAGGGAAUCUUGCAAAGUUCCGUGAGUUGCAUUCCAAAUUUCUUGUGCAGCAGUUUGAUGUUUAUCUACAUGGUCUCUCUGAAUUGGAAGUAGUUGGUGCUUCUAUGGUUGAAA